UCCAGCUGGCCAUAUAGAAAGAGAGAGACAUUGGCAAAAAAAAAAAGUGAUGCAAAUUGACAGCUACAACAAAGUACAAAAUGCAUUUCAUUAUUUGUUUUCUUUCAGAUACAUCGCAUUUGGAGCAAUUGGGAAGAUGAUCACAACAACGGAGUCCGUGUUUUUAGUCCAUUCCCUUGCAGAAUGGCUCUCAAACAAGCAAUCCAUGCAAAUGCAUGCCGGAAUGGGUGAGGAAGGAAAGUCGGGGCAUGAGAACAAAAGCGGAUGCAUCUAUCUCUCCUAUUUGAAGGUGUGUUGGGGCCAUCUAGUGACAUGUAGAAGUAAUGCAAGCCAGCUCAUCUGUGCAACUCACCUUUUCAACCCUUCCACUAUUGAUAUCGGAUGGCAGAAUUUGUCUUCCAAUCGGUCUGAGAUCCGUCUGCAAAAGAAAUGUUGCUUAGCUGCAAAAAUGGAGACGGCUGACACCAGCAACAAUUAACCUUUGCUCAUCUUUGAAUGAUUUGCUUUCACUGGAAUGUGUAGUAGAAGGACAACGAUCUGCUUUAUGCAAACAUCACCCCCCCCCCCCCCCCGACCCCCACCCCAAGGCUGGAUGUACAAAAAGGUAACCUGAAGCCACUGCAUCUGAUGUCUUGGCUGUGUGCUAAAACUCUCACAACUUCAGACAUCUCUUGCAUCAAGUAGAACUAAUCCCAGAGCACCAAACUUAAAACAAAAAAAUGGGUUUACGGUCGGUGAACACCAAGUUUCAGCUAAAUCUAUGCAAUAUAUCCCAAGAAAUGGCGGUACUUGAAAUAUAUGAAAUAUUGAAACGAUACUGUUUGUUCUGUUGGGUUGAGGUGAAGAUCAUACACAUUAAAAUCUCUCACGCAUGUCUUGAUGGAUGUUGCUUUGUGCAUUGGUGCAUCAAUCAGGAAGUUGAGAGCAUGAAGUUCCAGGAAAUCUGAAGGCAUUUGGCAUGUCAAGAGAUUUGGGCUUGGGGAUGGCAAACUAUCUGUUCCAACGUCCUUGCCCAUUGUAGAGGGAUCGAUUCAGACUUGGUUUCAGAAGAUGUGUAAAAUUAAGUAACUUGACUCUGACUCGAGUAAAAAAAAAAAACAA